rnacentral:sRNA from 1 species
AACUAGCCCUGAUUGCAGAGUAAAUCCCGAUUUUUAUCGGGAUUGCAACGGAAAGCAGGAAUAAGG